GACGAACGCUGGCGGCGUGCCUAAUACAUGCAAGUAGAACGCUGAAGGAGGAGCUUGCUUCUCUGGAUGAGUUGCGAACGGGUGAGUAACGCGUAGGUAACCUGCCUGGUAGCGGGGGAUAACUAUUGGAAACGAUAGCUAAUACCGCAUAAGAGUAGAUGUUGCAUGACAUUUGCUUAAAAGGUGCAAUUGCAUCACUACCAGAUGGACCUGCGUUGUAUUAGCUAGUUGGUGGGGUAACGGCUUACCAAGGCGACGAUACAUAGCCGACCUGAGAGGGUGAUCGGCCACUCUGGGACUGAGACACGGCCCAGACUCCUACGGGAGGCAGCAGUAGGGAAUCUUCGGCAAUGGACGGAAGUCUGACCGAGCAACGCCGCGUGAGUGAAGAAGGUUGUCGGAUCGUAAAGCUCUGUUGUAAGAGAAGAACGAGUGUGAGAGUGGAAAGUUCACACUGUGACGGUAGCUUACCAGAAAGAGACGGCUAACUACGUG
rnacentral:rRNA from 1 species